rnacentral:lncRNA from 1 species
CAUAAGCAGAAGCGGAUAACCAGGAAGAGAGAGGAAACAGAAUGGGCGCCCCCCGCAGGAAGGCUGACUGGAUGACACGGUCCAGCUCCAUCAGCGACCUCUGGUUCCCGCGACCUACGCCUAAACCCCAGGGGGCUAGGGAGCAGGGCCUGGGGGCUUGAUCACUCUGAUAGACAAGCAGUGCUGCUUUAGUGCUCGGACAACAGCCAUGACACAGACAUGAAGGGACCCCUCCCCCACCCAGCACUGAACCCAUUGCAGCUGUGGCCUCGGUGGGCCGGGUGGCAGAGUUUCUCCUGUUCCGAGAACUUCAAGUCACUGUGUCACCUGGAAAGCCCAGGUGAGUGAGCCAGCAAUGCUGCCAAUGACCAGGAGCCUGUUUAUUCCCUGCUUCUGAAGGCACGCUGGGUCCUGUAGCCCCUUCCAUUGGAGAGUGCUCUUGGCCCGUCUCUGCAGAGUCCUUCAGCUCAGCCCCAGGUGGGUAGCCCGGGUACCACCAGGCAAGGCUGCUCUCAACAACCCAAACUCACACUCGGGUUCUGCUGUCCCACGGAGGAUGAGUCUGCGCUUUCCGGGAUAAUGAAACUUGAUGGAUACUUACCUGUUUGUGGUGCAGAAACUUUCACGCCUGUGCUGCAGGAAUAGAGGCAGAUGGCAGUGGAUGCAAGAGGGCCAAUGCAAGCCUUUGGGGCAGGCUGCCCGGCCAAGAGAGGGGCCCUGGCCCUAACAGA